UACGUAGGGGGCAAGCGUUGUCCGGAUUUAUUGGGCGUAAAGAGCGUGUAGGCGGUUAGGUAGGUCCGUUGUGAAAACUCGAGGCUCAACCUCGAGACGCCGAUGGAAACCAUCUAACUAGAGUCCGGAAGAGGAGAAUGGAAUUCCUGGUGUAGCGGUGAAAUGCGCAGAUAUCAGGAGGAACACCGGUGGCGAAGGCGGGUCUCUGGGCCGUAACUGACGCUGAGGAGCGAAAGCGUGGGGAGCGAACAGG
rnacentral:rRNA from 1 species